UUGUUUUUGCCAUGUAACUAACUGUAAACAAUAGUGAUUUCAUUUAAGAAGUUGACCACAUGGUCAUAACACAUAAGCUCUAUCAUGGAAUAGUAGGCAAUUCUAUCAAAUUGUAUUUUGACAAUACACAGAUGGGCAAGUCUACACAGGUUACCAUGUCAUAACAUUCGGGUCAUCUUAUCGUAAUCAACAACGACCUUUAAGAGGAUCAAAAUAAAUGAAUUGGCUAGGAGACAGUCUGUAUAUUCCAUAAAUUUAAAGCCAGCCUGUGUAUAUACUUAUACAUUGUAACAUUUGUAUUGAAGAAGCAAUUAAUACAGGUUAUAUUGAAUUACUGGAAAAAUCACUUUACUUUGUGCUGGACAAUUCUAGUCAUUCACAAAUUAAAGUGAAUUCUUCAAUUCAGUUUAUAGAUUCACAUGAAAUGAACAUUUUUAACUGUCUAAAAUAGCUAACUGGAUAAAAAAAAUAAAUAAAUAACAGUGUUCUUUAAUCCUAGAAAGUAUUCAGUACCAAACUGGCAAUAGCUGGACAAGAGACAGCCAUCUUUCUCAAUCCUUUCACUGUAUAGAUAAGGAAAAGGGAGUCCCAAGAGGUCAGAUUUCAUUGUUCAGGUCACUCCAUCACAUAAGAGCAAAUCCCCCAUCUUGUUAGUAGGAUCAUAGUGGAAACCACUGUCACAGCUUCCAAUACAGGGCUUGUUCCAUUACACUGUGUUGUUGCUGACCACCUUCAUUUCCCUUCAUUUGCACUUCGUGUGACUGCCCUCCACCUGGCCCAGAAUUUCUAAGUCUUGCAACAUUGAGAAUGUAUUUCAAGGACAUAUGUUGCCUAGCUGGGUCUAUAAAGAAAUACUAUUACUACUAACAAUAAAAUCUUAUCUGGAACCACAGUAAAAAAAAAAAUAAUAAUAAUAAAUAGAAUAAAAUAAAAUAAAAUAAAAUAAAAUAAAAUAAAAUAAAAUAAAAUAAAAUCAGUGGAUGAGUUUUUCAGGCAAUUUAAAACUUCCUUGUGGAAUCCCUGAAGUCUUUUCAAAGGUCCAAGCUAUCUAAAAAGCAGAGUUGGAAAGCUACUCAAGCUAUUCUAAAUUAAGGGAAGUGGAUAUUUGGCAACAGGAAUUCUGGAUUCUGCCGUUGUCCCUGAGCUUGAAGAGAGCCGGCUGACAUAGCAAAGCAUGACUUGGGCAUUCUUAUGGGCCUUAAUAGUGUUAGGGGUUAUCUUGUUUUGUUUUGAUCACAAUCAAGCACUAAGGAAUUACCUCAAUAAGAGAUUACUAUAGCUCCUAGCUCAUCCAAGACAGAUAUGAUAGACAGUUGGGGGAGAGGGGCUCUCAAACUUUCUUUGCCUUCUUUGUCACCUUAUAUGCAUUUCAACAUUUUAAAAAUUAUAUACCUAUGUAUGUAAGUAAGUAUUUUCUCCUGAGGGGGUUUGGUCUCCAGCAUCUCAGCUAUGACUCCUGCAGCUUAGGGACCUGACCUUGGGAAACCAGCAGACAAAUUUUUCUUUUUAUUAACAUAGUUUAUGUUUCAGGCACUGGCCAGCCAUAAAAACAUUCACACAUUUCAUCUGCAAUGCGUCACGUUCCUCCUAUUCAUGACUCCAAGUCCCCUCCAUAUUUCAAUUUCUCAGUAGUUCUUCAGUGUUUAUUUCACAUCCUCAGUCUAUCAUGAAGCCCUGUCCAACUCACACAAAGGAGACGGAGAUUGCUUCCUCCUUAUGGCACUUUGCUCGGACUCCUUUUAUCAUACUUGGGUUUACCAACUUGUCUUUUCUCUGCUCUACCUUCUACUCUUCUCCACAACAACACUUCUAUGUUUAAGAUAGUUGUUCCAUUACUUACCUAUGUAUCCACAAAAGCAACUAGCCUGGCGCUAUGAAAACGGAAUGGACUUUGGGAAAGAUGAACUGAAGACAAAUCCUAGCCUUAUAAUUUUUUUUAACCUCAUAUGUUGGUGAUGUGACUUUUUUGUAUCUCAAUUACCCCAACUACAAAAUGGGGAGAAGAGCUAUUUGUAAUACCUUGGCUAAGACUGCAAAUAAUGCAUGUAAGAUCCUCAACCCUGAACUGGUAAAGGAGGGAUAUCAUUAUGAUUAUCAGUUAAUGUUUAACCAACAAAUUAAAUAUCAUCAGUUUAAUGCACAUAGCAUGGAGCUUUUAUCUGCUUUCUGGUCUGUACAUUACUGUGGCUACAGGAAGUCUUCCCAGCAGGCAUCGAGGGAUACAUGGCCCCAAGUUUGGCCUGUAAACUGGUUUGUAAAAGGCAGAUUUUUUUUUUCCGCCCAAUCUGUUUUGUAAUCCUUUGCACACCUAAGGCAGUGCAAUAUGAUGGAAAGAACAAUUUGGAGCAAGAAACCCUGGUUUUUAACCUAAGCUUUAACUGAUUGCAUGACCCUGAGGAAGUCAGACAUUUGCAUUCUCAGUUUUCACAUGCAUAAGAUGAGGAGAAUCCGGCCACAUGUACCUCACAGGCUUUCUGUGGGAGCAGAGAGACUCAUAGAAGUUGGAGCCAUCUGGAAACUGUACAGAACAAUACAAAUAUGGAUUAAACAUCUUUUUUAAUUUUUAAUAGGUAAUAUAUAAACUUUGCAUCUAAUUCAAAAAAUACAAAUGCACAGUAACAGGCAAGUCCUCUCCCAGUCUUCUUUCCAGCCACUCAGAUCCCUCAUUCAGGACAGGCAUCAUCAGUUUUUAGUUUAUAUUCCUACAGAUAUUAUGUUUAUAAGAAAUUUAUUACAUACCUUUUAAUAACUCUUCAACUGCCCCCCAGGCCUUCCUCCAGCCUACGGUUCCACUUAACACCCUGGAAGCCAGCAACACCAGAGCUGACACUUACAGUUGGCCUACUUGCUCUCUUAACCGUAUUUACUACCAAGAGUCACUUGGUCACUGAGAAAAAUUCUGUCACAAGUCUGAAAAGACCAUCAUUCUCAGCACGCAAUGCCGCAGGGAACCCAGGACCCCAUGAAGCCUGAAGUUGCUACAUCUUCUGCUCAGAACCAUAACAACUUAAAUGGUCCCUAUGCUCACACAUUCCAACCAAAGCUGCGAUCCAUGGGCAAUCAAUUGUUUUUGUUUUCUUCUACAAGGCUUGCUUAGUUUAGAUGUAUUUAAAAUGACUUCUUUGGAUUUUCCCCUAUGUUAGCUUGAAACAAGUAUACCUGAAGCAAUCUGAAUCUUUGGCUGACACGUCUAUUAUAUUUACAUCCUACUGGACUCACAAGGUUAUGGCUCAGAUGGAUUGCAGGGUCCGUGGGACAGAGCGCUUUCGAAUUUUUAGGUGAGAAGUCUGCGUUACAUUCUGUAGCUUCCAUAUCAGAGAGUCUCGCUAAUCUUCAACUACUCCGAAUGUGGUAAGCCCUGAAACUUCUUCAAGAUUGUAUUCUUUAAAGCCUUCUGGGAGGUACAUCCUGAACUUCAAAGAUCGUGCCUCGAAGGAUCAAGAUUACCAUUAUAUUGUCACUUCAUCAUCUAGGUUAGCUGCCCUAUGAACAAAAUUCCUUUAGUAAGAAUGGAGCCAGCAUGGGACGCCUGAGUGGCUCAGCGGUUGAACAUCGGCCUUGGGCUCAGGGCCUGACACCGGAUUCCCAGGAUCGAGUGCCACCCCACAUCGGGCUCCUUGCAUGAGAGCCUGCUUCUCCUCCCUCUGACUAUAUCUCUGCCUCUCUUUCUGUGUCUCUCAUAAAUAAAUAAAUAAAAUCUUAAAAAAAAGAAUGGAGCCAAUGUAAAAAUUCAAAUUUCUUUUCACACAAGAAACAAUGUAACGGGGCACCUGGGUGGCUCAGUGGUUGAGCGUCUGCCUUUGGCUCAGGUCAUGAUCCCGGCCGGGGUCCUCGGAUCGAGUCCCACAUGGGGCUCCCCACAAGGAGCCUGCUUUUCCUCUGCCUAUGUCUCUGCCCCUCAUAAGCAAAUAAAUAAAAAUCUUUAAAAAAAGGAAAGGAAAGGAAAAGAAACUGUGUAUCAGUCGGGAUCCAUCAGAAAACAGAAAUCAGAUAAAGGGCUAGCUAGCAUCCAAGAUCUAUAAAGAAAUCAGAUCUGUUUUUUAAAAACAGGAUUCAAUAUAACCAAGCAUGAAAUUGGAAAGGGCACAGGAGGGGCAAAAAAGGGGGGGUGCACUGAGGUCUCACCGAGGUAGUAGGGGAGAAAGUAGUGGUUCCCACCGCACCCCAGAGGGGAGGUGGGAUUGUUAAAGGUGGGAGGCAGGAGCAGAAGCCUGGAGGAAUUGGCGGAAGGGAGGCCCCAUCGGGCUCAUGCUGCCGUCUCAGAGGGGGCCCCACUGGCCUGGGAACCCCGACCGAACCCCGACCCCCACCCUCCAAAGGCCCGCAGCGUGUCCCUGAGAGGGUGUCAUGACGCUGCCUGGGCCCCUCUGCAGCUGCUGCAAAAUCCUGCCACUGCCAAGGGCAGAAGCACUGCGGAGGGAGGUGUUCCUUCUCUCCCUACAGCCUGGCACCCUGCCUGCCCUCACCCCCCGGGGGAAACCUGACCCC
rnacentral:lncRNA from 1 species